UACGUAGGGUGCAAGCGUUAUCCGGAAUUAUUGGGCGUAAAGAGCUCGUAGGCGGUUUGUCGCGUCUGCUGUGAAAACUGGGGGCUCAACCCCCAGCCUGCAGUGGGUACGGGCAGACUAGAGUGCGGUAGGGGAGAUUGGAAUUCCUGGUGUAGCGGUGGAAUGCGCAGAUAUCAGGAGGAACACCGAUGGCGAAGGCAGAGUC
rnacentral:rRNA from 1 species